rnacentral:rRNA from 1 species
AACGAACGCUGGCGGCAGGCUUAACACAUGCAAGUCGAACGCAUCCUUCGGGGUGAGUUGCAGACGGGUGAGUAACGCGUGGGAACGUGCCCUUCAGUUCGGGAUAACCCAGGGAAACUUGGGCUAAUACCGGAUACGUGCGAGAGCAGAAAGAUUUAUCGCUGAAGGAUCGGCCCGCGUCUGAUUAGCUGGUUGGGGGGGUAAUGGCCCACCAAGGCGACGAUCAGUAGCUGGUCUGAGAGGAUGAUCAGCCACAUUGGGACUGAGACACGGCCCAAACUCCUACGGGAGGCAGCAGUGGGGAAUAUUGGACAAUGGGCGCAAGCCUGAUCCAGCCAUGCCGCGUGAGUGAUGAAGGCCUUAGGGUUGUAAAGCUCUUUCGUCCGGGACGAUAAUGACGGUACCGGAAGAAGAAGCCCCGGCUAACUUCGUGCCAGCCGCCGCCGUAA